rnacentral:rRNA from 1 species
AGCGGCGGACGGGUGAGUAACGCGUGGGUAACCUGCCUUAUACAGGGGGAUAACAGUUAGAAAUGACUGCUAAUACCGCAUAAGCGCACAGUACCGCAUGGUAGUGUGUGAAAAACUCCGGUGGUAUAAGAUGGACCCGCGUCUGAUUAGCCAGUUGGCGGGGUAACGGCCCACCAAGGCGACGAUCAGUAGCCGGCCUGAGAGGGUGAACGGCCACAUUGGGACUGAGACACGGCCCAAACUCCUACGGAAGGCAGCAG